GUCCUUUUAGUACUCGGUUCGCCAAACCGGAGAUCCUCAAUAUUUUAUCAACUCUGGACAUAGAUUCAUUAACUCAAAUUUCUCAAAGUAGAAAGCUUUCGUUAUUCAGGGAUUGUUUCAGAAAUCCAAUUUUUUCAGAUACUAGUAAUUUUUUAUGCUAUAUCUUAUGUGUUGAGGAAGUAGUUGGCGAUGAAGAGGACUCGAGGGUGUUCGUACAUAAACCAGAAAACAUUAUAUCUUAUUGUAAUUUUUGUGAUUAUCCAUUCGAUGACUGGAAAGAUUUCUGUGCAAUAACAUGGCAGCAUGCUCAUCAUUAUAUUGAAUCUCUUGCUAAGGUUUGAGUAUCCCAAUUGAUCGAUAAAAGAUGUUCCAAACCUUGCUAGCUGGAGACCACAUCAAUCCUUGUUCUUUUGUUCUUACAUCCUGUCUUGUGGAGGGUUAGAUAUAAGUCUUCUUUUUGGACCAGGCGCAACCAGGUUUUCUUUUCACUUCUCUUACAUUUUUGAUUUAAUAGGAGGAACAUGAAAAUGGUUUCUGUUAUGAACUUUGUGAAGCAUAUAACAUGUUACCACUACCUGUAGGGUUGCAUCUAUUGUAAACUUAUGCUUUUAUGAAACUGAGGUAGUUGUGCAAUUUAGUCUCUGUGAAAAUAGGUUCCAUGAACUUAUAACUCUUAUUUUUCACUUUGCUGUGUAUUAAUAUCUGUUUUGUGUACUGGUCGUAUCCAUCAGGAGCAACCAGUAAUCUGUAGGUUGGAUAUAGGUUUUGUCUAUUCCCGUAAGUCAUGUCUUUUCAGAGAUCCAGUCACCCUUCACUAGUUUGGGUCAGACUUCAGAGUGAGAUUCUCAAGUUAGAGACUUCUUAGGUGGAGUACGAUGCAGGAGCACUCCCCUUGCUGACUGGAUCCCUGGGCUUUGUAGUGGAACCAUAAAUAUGGCCUUUCCAUCAGUCAUGGCUUUUAUAAGAGAUGGCCAGUCUCCCUUCACCACUAUGCUUUUGUCCUUGUUUUGUUCAGUUGGAAUUUUCUUAAUGUGAUUGUAGUGCUGUUUGUAUACUCAGUAAGCGUUUUUUUAUCGACUUUUGUGUUUCGGCUAUCAGGUUACUGAAGAUAGUGCUCUCUGCAGUGUUCCCAAAAGUUUUGUCCCUUGCUCAUGCGUUUUUGUUCCUCAAGGAAGAGGACAUGCUGAAGUGGCAGGGCUGCAACCUGAUCAAUGGCCCUGCUAGCAGGAACAUAUUUCGAAUUUUGCAUUAUGACAGCCUUUGCAAGGAAGAGUUUCCAAACUUUAUAGCAGGUUCCCAGGUCGCUUGGGUGAUUAUGGACCUAGCUCUCAUCAAAAACCAUCUUACAAAGGAUGCACUGGCCGGAUCUUAGAUGGAUCAAAACCCAAGGCUGUUCUGGAAGUUGAUGGCAACGAAGAGGAGUCGAGGGUGUUUAUACAUAUACCAGACAACAUUAUAUCCCAUUCAGUAACAUGGCAGCAUGCUUAUCAUUAUCUCUUGCUAAGGUUUGAGUAUCCCAAUUGACCGACAAUUGAUGUUUCCUUGCUAGCUGGAGCCACAUCAUUGGCAGAGCUGGAAAUCUGAUUAAGGGCUGGCUUGAGAAGCUAGCUAGGCUUCAGCCCAUAUUUUAGGCCUGGCUUAAGCCUGUUUUUCAGGCCUAUAUUAUCAUUCUAACCAAAUUCAGUAGUGAAAAAAAAAAAUGCUUGUUUGGACUUUUGGGGAUGGCUUGAGCUAGCCUAAGUUAAGUUGUAGAUCCUCCCCUGCACAUCAAGAUUUGUCCUUUUGUUUCUUACAUCCUAUCUUGUGGAGGAUUAGCUAUAAGUCUUCGUUUUGGACCAGGCGCAACCAGGUUUUCUCGUUAUUUCUCUUGCAUCUUUUUGAUUUAAUAAGUGGAACACGAAAACAUGUUACUACUACCUGUAGGGUUGGUAUAGAAAAACUCAGUUUAAUUUAUGCAUCUAUGGUGAUGUUUUUACGAAGUUGAGAUAGUUAUGUAGUUUAGUCUUUGUGAAAAUAGGUUCCAUGAACUUAUAACUCUUAUUUUUCUCUUUGUUAUGUAUUAGUAUCUGUCUCGUUUACUGUUUCGUAUAUCCAUCUGGAGCAGCCAGUAAUCUGUAGGUUGGAUAGGUUUUUCGUAUUCCCGCAAGUCAUGUCUUUUCAGCAAUCCAGUUAUCUUUCUCUAAUUUGAGUCAGAGUGAGAUUCUCAAAUUAGAGACUUCUCGGUGGAGUACAAUGCAUGAGCACUCUCCCCUUGCUGACUGGAGUUACUUGAUUGACUGGAUCCCUGGGCUUUGUAGUGAAACCAUAAAUAUGGCCUUUCCAUCAGACACGGCUUUUGAAAGAGAUGGCCAGUCUCCCUUCACCACUAUGCUUUUAUCCUUGUUUUGUUCAGUUGGAAUUUUCUCGAUGUAAUUCGCAAUGUUGUUUGUAUACUCGGUAAGUGUUUUUGUUUAUUGAGUUUUGUGUUUCGGCUAUCAGGUUACUGAAAAUAGUGGUCUUAGUGUUCCCAAAGGUUUUGUCCCUCGUUCAUGCAUUUUUUGUUCUUGUGAGUGCUCAGCUUAUUUUCACUUGUUGAUGUUUCCUACCAUAUGUCUAGUUCGAGAUCUAAACUAAAGUAUAAAUUGAUUCUUAAAAGGGGUUAGGAUGAUUUAACUUUCUUUUUUUAUUUAAUCUGGGAUCUUUGCAACUAUCAUUCUAAUUGGUCUUUCAUGUGCAUUGUGACUGAAAGAGGGUAAUGUUGAGGCCCAAGAGGACAUGUUGAAGUGGGAGGGCUGCAACCUGAUCAAUGGACCUGCUAGCAGGAACAUAUUUCAAAUUUUGAUUUAGAAAUCUGCCACUGCCAUGCUUUGCAUUAUGACAAUCUUUGCAAGGAAGAGUUUCUAAACUUAUAGCAGACCCUAGGUCGCUUGGGUGAUUAUGGAUCUAGCUCUCAUCAGAAACCAACUUACAAAGGAAGUACUAACCGGAUCAUAGAAAAAUCAAAAGCCAAGGCUGUUCAGGUAUGAGGAACUAUUUUAACAAUACUUGAUUACACGUCAUAAUUUUUUUUUUUAAUUUUACGAUGAAGAAAUUUAAGAUGUAUAACCCCUUGCAUUAAUAGGAAUUUUUUUUUUCUAUGGAAAUUGAGCCUACAGAUGUAUGAAAACCAUUAUUCAAUUUAAACCUUGUAAAACCAAAAAUUAGUAUCUGGAUAUUCACAAAGACAAAUCUGUGAGGAGGUGGCUUCGAGAUUGUUCAACCCGAUCAUGACCACACCUUCUCAUCAAAGGUAGGUCCCCUUGGCCUUGUUGUUGCGUACCUCACCCUUCCUUAACAAUGACGUAGUUUCCUUUUCAUCAAACCACCCAAGAUUUAAACUUAGAUCAAGAUUAGGAUGAUAUUUCGAACAAGUCUACCCAGCCUCAUGCUUUUCUGUAAUAGUUGUUGCAGUGUCUUCCACAAUUCUGUUUUCCAUGAUCGAGUCUUCAAUUGUUGAAGAAGACGCUGACAAUGGUGACGAUCCUGGUGCUUUAAGUUUCUCUUUUCUUGCAUACAGAUUUUGUUUCAAAUUUGCCAAAGAUUCUCCGACAGACUUCAGCUUUUCCACAGAAUUGAGUUCUUCAAUCUCUAUAUUAUCCCACCAAAAGCAAUCACUCCCACUCCCAACACCAGCUUUUUUUCUGCAUUGUGUAGAAUUCUUACUUCUGUGAAUAUUCUUAUUUUCUUGUUUCUUAUCUUUCUUUUGUUCUUCGAGGAACCAUUCAACCAUAUUACAUACACCUAUUCGAGAAUUACUGAAGGUGUAAGCCUUUCCAGCCUGAGAGAAUACUAUUAAACAGGAGACAACAAUAUCUGCACAUAACUUGAAAAGAGACUUCCAUAAUUCUUCAAAUUUUGCUGUUAUUUCGCAGGAAAAAAAUAUUGGCUUGUUCUAUUGUGUGAUUUAUCUGCUGCUGACUUAUGAUUGAGUUUGAGAAUACCUCUACUACUACCUCUAUUUAUACAUGACUGGAGACUGAUAAAUUUGGAAAGUUAUCAGAUACUCCUAAAUUUAAUGGAUUUUUUUUCAAGAACUCUUUUUUCAGAAUUUUGUGCGGGUUUCUUAAUUUGAAUGUAAACUGGUGGUUUCCAAAUUUGUAUUCCAAAAGUUUCUA